rnacentral:rRNA from 1 species
UACGUAGGGGGCAAGCGUUGUCCGGAAUCAUUGGGCGUAAAGCGCGUGUAGGCGGUUCGGUAAGUCGGCUGUGAAAGUCCAGGGCUCAACCCUGGGAUGCCGGUCGAUACUGCCGGACUAGAGUUCGGAAGAGGCGAGUGGAAUUCCCGGUGUAGCGGUGAAAUGCGCAGAUAUCGGGAGGAACACCUAUGGCGAAGGCAGCUCGCUGGGACGUUACUGACGCUGAGACGCGAAAGCGUGGGGAGCAAACGGG